GAUGAACGCUAGCGGCAGGCUUAAUACAUGCAAGUCGUGGGGCAGCAGGUUUGUAGCAAUACAGAUGCUGGCGACCGGCAAACGGGUGCGGAACACGUACAGAACCUUCCUUUGAGCGGGGAAUAGCCCAGAGAAAUUUGGAUUAAUACCCCAUAGUAUAAUGAAGUGGCAUCACUUUAUAUUAAAGAUUUAUCACUCGAAGAUGGCUGUGCAGCUGAUUAGGUAGUUGGCGGGGUAAAGGCCCACCAAGCCUGCGAUCAGUAACUGGUGUGAGAGCACGACCAGUCACACGGGCACUGAGACACGGGCCCGACUCCUACGGGAGGCAGCAGUAAGGAAUAUUGGUCAAUGGAGGCAACUCUGAACCAGCCAUGCCGCGUGGAGGAUGAAGGUCCUCUGGAUUGUAAACUUCUUUAUAUGGGACGAAAAAAGGCUUUUCUAAGUCGUCUGACGGUACCAUAUGAAUAAGCACCGGCUAACUCCGUGCCAGCAGCCG
rnacentral:rRNA from 1 species